AGGCUCAGCACCAUGGAGGCCCAUUCGAAAACCAAGGAAGAAAUCAACACACGGAUAAUUCAAACUGAAUUUGAAAAUGAACUAAAACACGCGCCAUGUCACUGAGUCCAUCAGCUCAAUCCAGCUCCGAAUGACCACAGUGGGCCACCACGCCGGAAAUCGCUUUCGGCGACGGUGGCCACCAGAAAUUAAAAUCAAACACCUCACUAGAACUGUCUCAUCCUCCCCGAUCUGACUCUCCAAUCAAUUUCAACCUAAACCACACGUAGAACACUAACCGAAUCCAAAUACUUGUGAACCAUAGGUCUUGAGAUACGAAUUGAACAAUGAUAUGAAGGAAUUGAAGUUCCUUGUGUGAGGGCUUUAAUUCUUCACCCUAAUCACUACAUGACUGGAGAGAAAAUAGAGAUGAAACAAGGAGUAAAGCCUACCUACGGAACAUAGGAGUUUCCCAGAUUUUGUUGAAAACGUAGGUGACGAUAUUGAACAAGAAAUCCAGAGAUUCUCUAGGUCUAGGUGAGGGCCUUGAUGCAGGUCCAGGGCUGCAGGACCUUCCAUUCAACUUGGUUGUUGCAUUGCUGAAUGGAUGUGUUGUUUUGCUGCAGAUUAUGUAGACAAAUUACUAGUGAUACAAGUCUAAUGUGUUGUCAUUGUAUUGUCAAUGUGUGUGUGGCUGCAGGUCUGAUGUACUACUGUUACAGAUGAGUGUGAUUACUGCAGAUGAAUGUUAUACAGGCCCUGGUUUCUAAUUGAUUCAAAGUCUUAUGCUGCUAUGGUUUUAUAGGAACAACAUUUCAUGCAUGGAGUUUUUCUUCGCUAUGAGAAUCAAUGCGAUGCAAAGAUAACUUAGCUCAUCAAAGGUCAUGGAAGCAUGCUUGAACUUGGUUCUUGUAUGCUAAGUGUGUAUGUAUGGGUGUAUUGCCAUGGCUAUUUUUGCAGGGUUGUGAUGAAUUGUGUCAUGCUUGGAUUAAUGCUUGUAAUGACACGAUUUCAAGAUAUGGCAAGAGACUCUGAUGACAAAACAAAGCAUGGCACAAAAAUGGUUUUCUUGUUCAUGAAGAAUGUUUGGUAAUGGAAAGAUGGGAAGGACAUGGAAUUCAAGUAGAAAUUAGGGUUAGGUCAUGAAAAAAGGUUGGUUGACCAAAAAGUCAACAAAUGACCAAAAAGUCAACAGUUGACCAAAAAGUCAACCUUUACAAAAUGUAAUUUUGAUUUCUUUUUUUGCAAUGAAACAAUGCAUUCUUUGAUAUAUGAAUGGAAAAUCAAUGUUUUAAGUGUAA